rnacentral:rRNA from 1 species
UACGUAGGGUGCAAGUGUUAAUCGGAAUUACUGGGCGUAAAGCGUGCGCAGGCGGUUCGCUAAGACCGAUGUGAAAUCCCCGGGCUUAACCUGGGAACUGCAUUGGUGACUGGCGGGCUAGAGUAUGGCAGAGGGGGGGUAGAAUUCCACGUGUAGCAGUGAAAUGCGUAGAGAUGUGGAGGAAUACCGAUGGCGAAGGCAGCCCCCUGGGCCAAUACUGACGCUCAUGCACGAAAGCGUGGGGAGCAAACAGG